rnacentral:rRNA from 1 species
GCAGCAGGCGCGCAAAUUACCCAAUCCCGACACGGGGAGGUAGUGACAAUAAAUAACAAAACUGGGCAUUUAUGUCUGGUAAUUGGAAUGAGUACAAUGUAAAUAUCUUAACGAGUAUCCAUUGGAGGGCAAGUCUGGUGCCAGCAGCCGCGGUAAUUCCAGCUCCAAUAGCGUAUAUUUAAGUUGUUGCAGUUAAAAAGCUCGUAGUUGGAUUUCGGGUGCGACGACGCGGUCUGCCUCUGGUAUGUACUGCGCUCGGCGCACCUUUCUGCCGGGGACGGGCUCCUGGGCUUUAUUGUCUGGGACUCGGAGUCGGCGAGGUGACCUUGAGCAAACGAGAGUGUUCAAAGCAAGCCUACGCUCUGAAUCAUUUAGCAUGGAAUCACGUGAUAGGACUCUGGCCUAUCUUGUUGGUCUGUAGGACCGGAGUAAUGAUUAAGAGGAACAGUCGGGGGCAUUCGUAUUUCAUUGUCAGAGGUGAAAUUCUUGGAUUUAUGAAAGACGAACUUCUGCGAAAGCAUUUGCCAAGGAUGUUUUCAUUGAUCAAGAACGAAAGUUGGGGGCUCGAAGACGAUUAGAUACCGUCGUAGUCUCAACCAUAAACGAUGCCGACUAGGGAUUGGCAGGUGUUCCAUUGAUGACCCUGCCAGCACCUUAUGAGAAAUCAAAGUUUUUGGGUUCCGGGGGGAGUAUGGUCGCAAGGCUGAAACUUAAAGGAAUUGACGGAAGGGCACCACC